ACUAGCAUUGAUUCUUCUGGUAUCGGUCAGUUUUGAUUAGAGAAAAAAAAACUAUGUAUUUUGGUAUUGAGGUUUUAAAAAACCUUGAGAAAUGAUAUUUAGUAGAAGCGGUCCCUUCUUGUAGCAGGUAUGAUGUGAAUUUUUGUGGCAAGCAGGAAGCAUUCUGUGAUAUAUGGAAAUUCCACUCAUGUUAUAUAGGUUGGAUGUGGCUCAGUUUGUGGCUGAUGCUGGUUCUAAUACCAAGAAUCAUAGCAUCCCACAGGUUAUUUAAUGCUAAGACCUUGAUCGGUUUCUCAUGGAUAAAGAAAAUCAACAAUUAAUGGACCAAUUG
rnacentral:lncRNA from 1 species